AUUGAACGCUGGCGGCAGGCCUAACACAUGCAAGUAGAACGAGUGGCAGACGGGUGAGUAAUGUCUGGGAAACUGCCUGAUGGAUGGGGAUAACUACUGGAAACGGUAGCUACUACCGCAUACCCUCGGAUGUGCCCAGAUGGGAUUAGCUUGUUGGUGGGGUAACGGCUCACCAAGGCGACGAUCCCUAGCGGGUCUGAGAGGAUGACCAGCGACACUGGAACUGAGACACGGUCCAGACUCCUACGGGAGGCAGCAUUGGGGAAUAUUGCACAAUGGGCGCAAGCCUGAUGCAGCCAUGCCGCGUGUAUGAAGAAGGCCUUCGGGUUGUAAAGUACUUUCAGCGGGGAGGCGUUACCCGCAGAAGAAGCACCGGCUAACUCCGUGCCAGCCGCCGCGGUAAUAC
rnacentral:rRNA from 1 species